UUUUUUUCUCUCAUUCACAUAGAAAGAAAUGAAACCCGAUUAGAAAAAAAGAAGCUAAUAGGAGAGGACUACAAUUUGAAAAUAAAUUAUAUAUAAAACUUGCCAUUAUAAGCUGCUAAAACUAUAUCCUCUUUUUAAUCCACACUAAAAUCGAAUAUAUCUGAAUACACAUUUAAUUUUAAUCCAAAGUUUGAAACAGCACAAUCACUAAAAACGACACCACUUUAUUCGUUUUAUUGGCAUAAGGAAUAUACUUUCCUCCUGUAUCCAUUUUGCAACACAAAACGCAUGUAAAGGUAUUCACUGAUCAUAUUAUGAGUAGUCCUUUCGCACUCACAAAUCAUGAUGCGCAUACCUUGAGUCUCAAUCUACAUGUAGCAAUACAUGUUGACAAUGUUUACCUUCAGCUGUACUUUCUUUUUUUCUCUUGUUUAAGUUGAGCUACUGUUUAUAGGGGCCAACAUGUAGGAUAAAUUUUAAUGUAAAGAAAGCUUAUUCACAAACAAUUUUCACACUUGAUGAAAAUAAA
rnacentral:lncRNA from 1 species